rnacentral:lncRNA from 8 species
AUGGGGUUUGUGGUCCUUCUGUAUGGGAUAUCAUCUGAACUACUUAGGCCGGGGGUGUGUUUGUGGCCAACGACGGCAAUGAUGGAGCAAAAGGAAGUGGAAAAAAGAAAUGGUGGCGCGGCCAAACGCACUGUCGGUGGACGCAAGAAGGAGAAGAUGGUGGUUAGAACACCAACUGAGCAGGCCGAGAUGACUGGAAGCACAACAAUUGCAAGCAAACGAACACCUGAAAUACGACCAGACAAACUUCAUGGACAAAGUAAGAGAAGACAACUCGGACAAUGAACUAUGCAUGGCCAGCCUACCACAAUGAAGAGGGCCGAGCUGAAACAAAAAAACAACAACCUGCAACUUAAGCUUAGAACUGAUAAGUGUCUUUGAUACUUCCAGGUAUAGCUUAGUUUCAUUGGAACUCCUGCCGAAACAAAUCUUUUUCUGUUAGAUGUGACUUAGCCUUUAACUCUUACUAGCCCACCAUAGGAAUCUUUAACAUGGGAAAUGCCCAUAGCGUUACACUAGCUGGAGAUUUCCAUUAAUUUCAUGUACUGACAACUACUUGGAUUUUGAAGAAUGACAUAGAAAUACUUCAGUUUCAACUUUCCUACUGUACUCCUUUGUAGUCUGUACAUGUUUCUUAUGUAAUGGGAUGCAAAUGCUCCUUGGUUACUUUUUGUUUUUGGGGGUGGUGGUCCUGAUGGUAUGCACAGUGUGGCUUAACUGAGGGCUAGAUUCAAUCCGGACCUGGGAAGAUCUGUGUUCUCAGGUGAAGUUAAUUUUCCGAUUGACCUGACAUAUGCAGCGUUUACCGUGGAUUAAGUCUCCGAACAUUACCUUUAAAUUUCAGUCGCGCUAUAGCGCGGUUCUUCCACAGCCCAGAUUGAAUCUAGGCCUAAAUUGUGUUAACUUUAUUUUCUUCAUUUAUACUUGUUUGAUGCAUGUCUUUAACAGGAUAGGUGCAUAUAAAACCCAUUAAAGGUGAUGUGGGAUAAGAGAGGGGGUUAUGUUUGUUAGGACAGGAAAUGAGGGGAAUUUGGGGGGGUAAUAAGAAAAUGGUGUCCUUAAACGUGAUGUCUUCAAUAAAAAAGUUGUUUUGUAAAGUCUUGUCAUUCUUUACAAUAUCAUAACUCAAUAUCACAAUUUUGGCAUUAGUGGUCACCAACCUUUUUUUUGAGUCAAAAUGCAAGCUGAGAUCUACCUUUUUAACUUAAGCCUAUGUAACAUUAACCAAUUAAAAACAGUUCUGUAGCAAUGAGGUUUGUACAGUAAGCUAUAGGCCCAAUACAUUAUCACUGCAUAUUGGCUAUGCUUGAAUUG